rnacentral:miRNA from 15 species
UCCGUUCGCUGCAUUCCCAGCC